AAGAGCUUGGCAUUUACAAGACCCAGGUGCCAAGCUCAGGGGUUUCUUCCCUCAUUAAAGGCAACUGUGUCUGCUUGUCUGGCUCUAUGGCAUACAGCUGUGCUGUCUGACCACAGGGACCUGGCCUUGCUGCUGAGCAGACAUCUUUUGGAAAGUGAAUACACAAGGAGCCCUCACGCUUCCAUGUAUUUUAAAUACACUUUUAAUGUUUUUAUCAAAAAAAGUAAUUGACUUUUCUUUGCUGAAAUGAAUAUCCUGCCUUAUACUGCCAGCUUUCUAGUCUUUCCACCCCAGAAAAAAAAAAAAAAAAAAAAAAGAAAAUCUGACGUUUUACAUAGCUGAUUUGCUCAAAUUUAAAGUUUGUUUUUAAAGCUCGUUUGAAAUUAGACAUUUCUUCUGGAAAUACAGGGUCUCAGAAAAGGUGAGCUGGUAUGCUGAUAACUUCUGGCUCUCAGGACUCCCAUUGCCAAAUAGAAGCCCCCAGACUGUAGAGUGGGGACAGGAGUCAAGACAAGCAAUGCUGAAAUUCGGCAGUGGAUCCAAGAAAUUUAAACUGGAAUUCACAAGUUUUAUCCAGUUUCCUUAUGGCCCAGGUCCUGUAUGGCACACCUGCCAGUGACAGCCUCACCUGUAACUUGUUUUCCUUCUGGAACAGCAGGUCCCAAAUCUGUGUGAUCUCAACAGAGCUGUCUACAAUCAGAAGCUAUGGAAAUUGAAUACAGAAAGAUGUAAUUCAAGGAAGAACUAGAAGAGACCUGUCUUAAGAAAGAUGGAGAUGGCCCCCAUCUUCCUUCCGCAUGCUGCUCUGCCAAGGUACAGGACAUCCCAGUCUGGCUGUAUUCUGCCAGAGAAUUACAGCGGAGAGGAAUUUGUACACUACAACAGAAGCUUAAAAGAAAGAAAUCAUCUGUGUUUUCUCAUUCUGAUCAACAUCUCAAAGCUUGGGCUCGGUCUGCCAAUAUCUUCUGCCUCAUGAGUGAUGGCACUGCAGAGUGUGGAAUGGAUCACAAUCAAAAAGCUGGUCUGUACAAGCGUUUUAAGGUAAUUUGGCCAGCAAAAGCUGCUGCUCAAGAACAUUUGAGAAACACCAUCUCCGAUUGAUGUGCCUUGCCAGACAGGCUCAGCAAAUGACUUUCCCUGGUGCUAUUUUAAAAGUCUUUAGUAGAGUUGUGCAAUUCACACUAAUUCUGAAGAAGUCUCUUGGAACAUGCCAAAGAUAAAGCGUGCGUUUUCAAGACUGCAACAUUUUCCAGAUCUGUUCAUCCCUUUUUGGAGGGCCUGUUGACUGUCAUUAUAUACUGCACUGAAAGAACUAGUAAGUGGCUGCUCUCAAGUUGAUUGCAUUGCCAUUGAUGCCAGAAAGCAUACAAGAAAUAGCUUCACUGCCUGGAUGUGAUUUAAAGAUUGAGGAACAAGUAUUACUUCCAUCGAAGCUGGAACAAACUUUACUCCUGAUGUAAAUGGAAGGAGAAAUCAGUUCUCUUGUAUUUGAAGUGUGAUUUGGUUGAUUAGGCAACAUUAUAUGCUGUUAAUCAGUUAAGUAAAAGAUUCUUAUUGUAUCAAGUGUUAGAUUUUUGUUUUAUUUAGUAUGUUUGUAAGCACAGAAUACUAAAGCCAUAAAGUUUGAGAAACUUUAUACUCAAAGGGAGUAACUUGCUUGUCUAUUUAUAUAUAUACACACAUACAGAGCAUUUCAUGAUAGUUUGACUCUGAUAUUAGCAUGUUUUCCACAUUAUUCAUCACUUGUUUUUUGCAAGUUAGAACAUACUCCAAGCCGUAGGCUGCAUCUGGUGCUGUAAGUGUUUAAAGGCCAUGUAAAAUAAGAAAUUGAUACUGCUAUUGUAUGUAACUUUGUGCUUUUAAAGGGCUUGGAUCAUGUAAAUAAGUGCUGGGUGUCUUGUCCAGCAGUCCAUCCUUGCUGGGAAAAUCCUGAAAAAAACACUUUUCUUUUUUUUAAACAAGAACAGACUAAACCAAAGAAAAGUGUUUUACAAGAAGCAUAGAAUCUAGCAAUAUGGGAAAGCAGAGAGUAAGUAUAAGGACUUUGUGUACUAGUACUCAUCAGAGAUCACCUGCCUUUCCUUGUUACUUCUGCUCUGUAGUUUGAUUUCAAUAAUGUAAUGUACUUUAAGCAAUUACAUUUUGUCAGUUCAAAGAGAUAGCCACUAGAUAGCCUCAGUGUGUCCCUAGAUGUCACCUAAAUUAAAGGUGUCAUCUUUCUAGCUCAAGAAGCCUUAUUCUCUAUUGGACCCAAAAGUCCUGAAAGGAAGAUGGAUUCAUUGCAACUCCACAGGGUCAGUGCAAUGUACCAGCACAUAAUGAACUACAGCGGUUCAGCAGUCCUACAGAAUAUCACAUAUGGGCAUUUGGCAGCCUGUCAGCCCAUAUGCUAUUUCAUGCCAUCAUAUCUAAUGUGAGGGCAUCAGCAGGGAGGGAAAGGACAGCUUUUGUACUUGCUUUAACACAUUUGUGGUGAAAUGUCAAGAAAACAUGAAAGUUUUCCUGAUGACCCCCUAUGUAUUACAAGCUCCACCAAAUAUACCAUAGACUUACACAAGAAGAUGAGCUCACAAUCUGGCUCAGUUGAAGCCCAAGGAACUUAUUUAUUUCAAAUAAAGAAAAUAUUAUGUUUGU